CGAGUCUCGGCAACGGAUAUUUUAGCUCUCGCAUUGAUGAAGAACGUAGCGAAAUGCGAUACUUGGUGUGAAUUCCAGAAUCCUGUGAACCAUUUACUCUUUCAACACAAGUUGCGCUUGAGGCCACUCAGCCGAGGGCACUCCUGCCU
rnacentral:rRNA from 1 species